rnacentral:rRNA from 1 species
AGUGAACGCUGGCGGUAGGCCUAACACAUGCAAGUCGAACGGCAGCACAGUAAGAGCUUGCUCUUACGGGUGGCGAGUGGCGGACGGGUGAGGAAUACAUCGGACUCUACUUUUUCGUGGGGGAUAACGUAGGGAAACUUACGCUAAUACCGCAUACGACCUACGGGUGAAAGCAGGGGAUCUUCGGACCUUGCGCGAUUGAAUGAGCCGAUGUCGGAUUAGCUAGUUGGCGGGGUAAAGGCCCACCAAGGCGACGAUCCGUAGCUGGUCUGAGAGGAUGAUCAGCCACACUGGAACUGAGAAACGGUCCAGACGCCUACGGGAGGCAGCAGUGGGGAAUAUUGGACAAUGGGCGCAAGACUGAUCCAGCCAGACCGCGUGGGUGAAGAAGGCCUUCGGGUUGUAAAGCCCUUUUGUUGGGAAAGAAAAGCAGCAGGUUAAUACCCCGCUGUUCUGACGGUACCCAAAGAAUAAGCACCGGCUAACUUCGUG